AUAUAUAUAAAUAAAAUAAAAAUGAAAAAUUUAAUUGCCAUUGUAAUGAAAUCACCUUUGCAAAAUUAUAACUGAGGAAAUUAUGACAGUGAAAGAAAUCAGACCUAACCGACUCCACCUUGCUUCUAACCUUUAAGCUGUCCUUGUUCAUUCCUGGGCAUAGGUCAAACUAACUUUGGGAAGGAAUUCAGUUUGUGGUUUGAUUCUGAAACAAAAUUGAUCAUAGGCGUUUCUUUCCUGGGGACUAGUCUGCCUGUGCAGGACUAACAAAUUAGCUACAAGAUUAGAAAUUACAGUUUAGGGGUCAUGCAGCCUCUGGCUCCAAGAGUCUGAACCUCCCCAAAUUGCUCCUGGGGAUAACAUCACUAUUGUGAAACCUAAGAUCAGUGCCUGAGAUACUUUUCAGACCCUGAACUCGAUGGAGCAGCUGACACCACCCAGACCUGUAAUCUGGCUCAACCAGUUCUGCCAUCCCACCCAGAACACAAAACUGCAAGAAAGACUCACUUCGACCCCCUAUGAUUCCAUCUCCAACCUGACUGAUCAGCACUCCGUACUUCCCAAGCCCCUACCCACCAAGUUAUCUUUAAAAACUCUGAUCCCAGCCAG
rnacentral:lncRNA from 1 species